GAUGAACGCUAGCGGCAGGCCUAACACAUGCAAGUCGAGGGGUAACAGAGAGAAGCUUGCUUUUCUGCUGACGACCGGCGCACGGGUGAGUAACGCGUAUACAAUCUGCCUUAUACAGAGGGAUAGCCUUUAGAAAUGAAGAUUAAUACCUUAUAGUCUAUUUUUAUAGCAUUAUAUAAAUAGUAAAGCUUCGGUGGUAUAAGAUGAGUAUGCGUCCUAUUAGUUAGUUGGUAAGGUAACGGCUUACCAAGACAACGAUAGGUAGGGGCCCUGAGAGGGGGAUCCCCCACACUGGUACUGAGACACGGACCAGACUCCUACGGGAGGCAGCAGUGAGGAAUAUUGGACAAUGGAGGCAACUCUGAUCCAGCCAUGCCGCGUGCAGGAAGACGGCCCUAUGGGUUGUAAACUGCUUUUAUAUAGGAAGAAACCUUUUCACGUGUGAGAAGCUGACGGUACUAUAAGAAUAAGGACCGGCUAACUCCGUGCCAGCAGCCGCGGUAAUACGGAGGGUCCGAGCGUUAUCCGGAAUCAUUGGGUUUAAAGGGUCCGUAGGCGGGAAUCUAAGUCAGUGGUGAAAUCUUGCAGCUCAACUGUAAAAUUGCCAUUGAUACUGGAUUUCUUGAAUUAGUGUGAAGUGAUUAGAAUGUGUAGUGUAGCGGUGAAAUGCAUAGAUAUUACACAGAAUACCAAUUGCGAAGGCAGAUCACUAACACUAUAUUGACGCUGAGGGACGAAAGCGUGGGGAGCGAACAGGAUUAGAUACCCUGGUAGUCCACGCCGUAAACGAUGGAUACUAGCUGUUCGAUCUUCGGAUUGAGUGGCUAAGCGAAAGUGAUAAGUAUCCCACCUGGGGAGUACGUUCGCAAGAAUGAAACUCAAAGGAAUUGACGGGGGCCCGCACAAGCGGUGGAGCAUGUGGUUUAAUUCGAUGAUACGCGAGGAACCUUACCAGGGCUUAAAUGUAGUCUGACAGCUUUAGAGAUAGAGUUUUCUUCGGACAGAUUACAAGGUGCUGCAUGGUUGUCGUCAGCUCGUGCCGUGAGGUGUCAGGUUAAGUCCUAUAACGAGCGCAACCCCUGUUGUUAGUUGCCAGCGAGUAAUGUCGGGAACUCUAACAAGACUGCCGGUGCAAACCGUGAGGAAGGUGGGGAUGACGUCAAAUCAUCACGGCCCUUACGUCCUGGGCCACACACGUGCUACAAUGGCCGGUACAGAGAGCAGCCACUACGCGAGUAGGAGCGAAUCUUCAAAACCGGUCUCAGUUCGGAUCGGAGUCUGCAACUCGACUCCGUGAAGCUGGAAUCGCUAGUAAUCGCAUAUCAGCCAUGAUGCGGUGAAUACGUUCCCGGGCCUUGUACACACCGCCCGUCAAGCCAUGGAAGCUGGGGGUACCUGAAGUCGGUGACCGCAAGGAGCUGCCUAGGGUAAAACUGGUAACUAGGGCUAAGUCGUAACAAGGUAGCCGUACCGGAAGGUGCGGCUGGAACACCUCCUUUCUAGAGAAUUUGUUACUUAGGUAACAGAUAGAAAGUACGAUGAGAGAGUAAACUCUUAAAAAUCGAUUUAUUUUGCUUGGUUUAGCUGUCAAUUUUAAAAAUAUAUAAGUCUGAAGUAUCAGAUUGUUUAGAGGAUUAUUCAUUUAAACACUAUACUGCAUACUGCAGGCUGAAAACAAACAGUCUCAUAGCUCAGCUGGUUAGAGCGCUACACUGAUAAUGUAGAGGUCGGCAGUUCGAGUCUGCCUGAGACUACUUUUUUUUAUGGAUAAUUAAUUAUUUAUAGAGAAACGUUCAUAACAUAUUGAAAGGAAAUUCUAGAAGUUAGAGGAUUCAACAUUCACAAUUCUGAAUACAAAGAUUCUGAAUUUCACAAAUGGGGGAUUAGCUCAGCUGGCUAGAGCGCCUGCCUUGCACGCAGGAGGUCAUCGGUUCGACUCCGAUAUUCUCCACUAUCAGCCAAAUGGUUGACAACGUUCAUUGACAUAUUGAAAAAAGAAAUACGAGAAAAGUAAUAAUAAAUGUUAUUAGUUAGCAAUAACUAGUAACACAUUUUGAAUAACUCAUUAAAAGAGCAAAAAAGUACAAUAAGCAAAGUAAGGGCGUAUGGGGAAUGCCUAGGCUCUCAGAGACGAUGAAGGACGUGAUAAGCUGCGAUAAGUUGCGGGGAAUGGCACAUACAUUUUGAUCCGCAAAUUU
rnacentral:rRNA from 1 species